AGUUCCACAGUGUAGUGGUUAGCAUAUAUGCUUUACACGCAGAAGGUCCUGGGUUCGUGCCCCAGUGGAGCCA
rnacentral:tRNA from 1 species